UAAAGGUUAGAAGAAAGAAUGGAGUGGGUAUAUUGUGGACAGGAAUUGGAAGAAAAAUGUGGUGGAUGUAUAAUGGAUAGGGGACAAAAUCUUAUCUUUAAACUUAAUGGUUAAUGGUUACACAAGAGACUAUCAAUAUCAUCAGUGUUUAUGCACCACAAGUCCACAAGUAGGAUAAGAAGCACUUUUGAAAUAAAUGUUUUGGG
rnacentral:lncRNA from 1 species